rnacentral:rRNA from 1 species
AAACUUUCAACAACGGAUCUCUUGGUUCUGGCAUCGAUUAAGAACGCAGCGAAAUGCGAUAAGUAAUGUGAAUUGCAGAAUUCAGUGAAUCAUCGAAUCUUUGAACGCACAUUGCGCCCGUCAGUAUUCUGGCGGGCAUGCCUGUUCGAGCGUCAUU